UAAAAUGUAGCAGGUGAACAAAAGCAAU
rnacentral:piRNA from 1 species